UGGAGUUCCGGCCGGAGCGGUGGCUGUCGGCCGACGGCACCAAGUUCGAGCCGCACGACUCGUACAGGUUCGUGGCGUUCAACGCCGGGCCGCGCAUAUGCCUGGGCAAGGACCUGGCGUACCUGCAGAUGAAGAACAUCGCCGGGAGCAUCCUCCUCCGGCACCGCCUGGCCGUGGCGCCGGGGCACCGCGUGGAGCAGAAGAUGUCGCUCACGCUGUUCAUGAAGCACGGGCUCCGGAUGGUGGUGCGCCCGCGCGACCUCGCCCCGACCCUCGACGAGCUCCCCGCCGCGGCACCCGCCGUCGCGGCCUGCGCGUAGAAGAUCGAUGUGUAUGGACCCCCGGCGCCGUGCAUGCAUGCUCCACGUACGGUUCGUGCCAUAUGGGGAAGGUCCGGAGGACGAAGUUGGAAGUGGCAAGAAAACUGUGUAGAUACACGAGUCCAACACACCAACAGGUACUACUUAGUAGGUGAGUAUAUCUACAUCGGGAUAAAGGGAUCUGUCUAAAAAUAUCCAAAUCAGAAAGAAAGGGAAACACACAGGGGCAACAAACAAUAAUGCUCCUCUCCUGUACUGUAAUGUACUGUACUGAACUACGUGUGACAGAUUAGAAGUGUAUAAGCUCCAAAUUCGUCUGGGCGGUUUGUGUUAAUGCGCCGCCGAUUGUUGUUGUUGUUGGCAGGGAGGUUGCGUGUGCAAAUGCGAGGUGAAACAUACAACUCGAUCGAGUGAUUAUUUUCUGGAUGGACCCGUUGGUCCGGGCUUAUUAAUUCUUCCCCGUUCUAUUUCUGGCGUCUUGAUUGCCGGUAGCUCGCUGCUCAUGGCGUUAUUGCACGAGGUGGAGAUGAGAUCAGUGUACAUCGCUGUUGUCCAUCUUAAGGUUGUUUGAGGCUCGUGCACGGGACCGAGAGAGCGAUUUGAUAGUGGGAGUUUCUUUGUUGAGGGAGUUCGAUACAUCAAACUCUGAUCCAGGACAGUGCAUCAAAGAGGCAAUACAAACUGAUAAAGAAUUUCGACGUGCCUUUUCAUUCUCAUUUGAUUAUUUGAUCAUUUUCCGGUCGCAAAUUUAUGUUCG
rnacentral:lncRNA from 1 species